rnacentral:rRNA from 1 species
UACGUACUGUGCGAACGUUAUUCGGAAUCACUGGGCUUAAAGGGUGCGUAGGCGGCCGUUUAAGUAGGGUGUGAAAGCUCUCGGCUCAACCGAGGAAUUGCGCUCUAAACUGGACGGCUUGAGUGAGAUAGGGGUGUGCGGAACUUCCAGUGGAGCGGUGAAAUGUGUUGAUAUUGGAAGGAACACCGGUGGCGAAAGCGGCACACUGGGUCUCAACUGACGCUGAGGCACGAAAGCUAGGGGAGCAAACAGG